rnacentral:rRNA from 1 species
CAGCCGCCGCGGUAAUACGUAGGUGGCAAGCGUUGUCCGGAAUUAUUGGGCGUAAAGGGCUCGCAGGCGGUUUCUUAAGUCUGAUGUGAAAGCCCCCGGCUCAACCGGGGAGGGUCAUUGGAAACUGGGAAACUUGAGUGCAGAAGAGGAGAGUGGAAUUCCACGUGUAGCGGUGAAAUGUGUAGAGAUGUGGAGGAACACCAGUGGCGAAGGCGACUCUCUGGUCUGUAUCUGACGCUGAGGAGCGAAAGCGUGGGGAGCGAACAGGAUUAGAUACCCCAGUAGUCCCUGUCUCUUAUAC